UACGAAGGGGGCUAGCGUUGUUCGGAUUUACUGGGCGUAAAGCGCACGUAGGCGGAUCGAUCAGUCAGGGGUGAAAUCCCAGAGCUCAACUCUGGAACUGCCUUUGAUACUGUCGAUCUGGAGUAUGGAAGAGGUGAGUGGAAUUCCGAGUGUAGAGGUGAAAUUCGUUAGAUAUUCGGAGGAACACCAGUGGCGAAGGCGGCUCACUGGUCCAUUACUGACGCUGAGGUGCGAAAGCGUGGGGAGCAAACAGG
rnacentral:rRNA from 1 species